rnacentral:rRNA from 1 species
UACGGAGGGUGCAAGCGUUAUCCGGAUUUAUUGGGUUUAAAGGGUCCGUAGGCGGCUCUGUAAGUCAGUGGUGAAAUCUCACAGCUUAACUGUGAAACUGCCAUUGAUACUGCAGGUCUUGAGUGUUAUUGAAGUAGCUGGAAUAAGUAGUGUAGCGGUGAAAUGCAUAGAUAUUACGUAGAACACCAAUUGCGAAGGCAGGUUACUAAGCAACAACUGACGCUGAGGGACGAAAGCGUGGGGAGCGAACAGG